GGGGCUAGGGGAAGCGAUUGACGGUGUUGCCUUCAGUUAAAUCCCGGAGAAUGUGCCAGGCUGGUGCAUCACCACCGAGUCCCGGAAUCUCGUUACCCUGCCUGCGUACCCGUCUGCUGUUGCCUUGCGAUCCCUGUUCUCUGGUCCCCGCCGAAUAAGUUAUGAUCGCUGCAGAAGAGGUGUCCCAUUGCUUGGGGCUGCAGACGUGAGAGAGCUCAGGGCAAGUUUCAGGGGCUGCCGGGGUCCAUGGCGACCCCGCGGGGCUCAGGAGCGCAAGGCUUCAGAUGCAUCUCGGCUUUCUGAGCUCGCCCAUCUUCCUCAGGCCAGGACUCCUUCAGGACCACUGCAGCAGGAAAAGACAGGAGAAAUUCCUUGAGCGGUUUACACAGCCGAGAGGGAGCAGUCCUGGCCUCACUGCAAGAUAUGUCCUCUUUCUACUGGGCAGGAGACAGUUUUAUUUAUAUUCAUAAGCUUGGGGAACAGAGCCUCAGAGAGCUGCGGCUUGCUACAGAAUAAUAGUAGCGCCAAGUUGUACAUACAGGUAUCCAGUACUUACUGCUCCCAUUCUCUGGUUUUUCCUUCUUCCUCCUGCUUCUGUUUCCCCAGCUUAUUUGAAUCUCAGAAACCAGCUAUACAUUUCACUCUAGAGCCCAGCUGGGGAGGUGGAGUUAAUCAGAUUUUCUCCAAGCUAUCGGACUUUAGUGGAUUAAUAGCCUCUGCAGGAUUUUCUGGCUGAUUUGAACUGGCUGGGACACUGGGGUCUCUCUCUCUCCCAGCCUACUGAAAGGAGGUAACCCCUCCUUCUUGCCUAGUAGCUUUAGGAAUUCCUUCUUUUGAGUUUUUGGAGGCUGAAUAGCCUCCAAAAUAGCCUCAAAAAUUCUCCCUAGAAUAGUUCUUAACAGCUUAUUUCUCUCCAAGCUCAGGCUUUCUCUGAGCAAAGAAGUCUGGAAAACUUUGUCCACCAGUCUCCUAUCAGCAGGGAUUCGCCCCCUACUUUCCACGCUGUUACAGCACACCCUUCAUUACUUCCUUUUCUAUUGGCUCCCCCACACCAGAACAGUGAUGAGUUGUUUAGAACUCCCAUGAAAUUCUGACUAGUGACUGAGUAGGAAAUUUUGCUUUGAAGGUGAAUAUUCACAUGAGUCUGAUACAAAUUUAUAUUGUCAGUCUGUUAUCUAUCUACUCCUAUCUAUCUAUCUAUCAGUAACCUUGGUUAGUAUGCCUUCAAUGCACCAGGCACUGUUGUGCACUUCACAUAAUCUCAUUUACUUCUUACAGUCAUACCUUGAAAUAAAUAUUAUCUUUGUGAAUGUGUUCCUAUACUUCUUUAUGUGCCCACCUUGAGUUUGCUUGGAAAAGACAAGCACACAUAUUUCUGUGGAUAUAAACUGGCCUAUCCCACCUGCCUAAUUCUGAAGUGAAUGUGAAAUGUAUAUGUGUAUUUGUACACUUGGGUUUGUGAAUAGGUUUCUGUCCACAUAGACGUAUAUGUUUGUAUCCAUCUGUGUCAUUGCUGUGCCCGUGGAGGUACUGAAGUAAACUGUGAGCUGGCAACUUUGUUUUUGCUCCUGACCUGGCUAGGAAGCUGCAGGCAGGUAGGGAUGCUGUGUGUACAGUUAGUUUUUCUUUUCUUUUAGGAGAUGCUGUGUGUGUGUGUGUGUGUGUGGUGUUGCUGUUUAUGGGUGUGAAUGGCUCUAAGACUGUGGCCUCUGCAGGAGAUGAGAGUAAUUAUUGCCUGUUUUCUAGUAGGCUUCUGUUUAAUGUGAGGCUUCUACUUUUAUUUAACUAGCACACAUAACCUGAGUAUGUGCCAAGCAUUGGGGAUGUAAUAAUACAUAAGAUAACUAGUACUUUGUACCUCUGGGACAUAUGGUCACUUCAGAUUUACAGUGGUAAAAGUUUCUCAUUUUUACUUCAUACCUCACAUAUUUCUUAUGCCUUAAACAGUAUACCCAGAUCUUCCUGUCUUGUGUAUGUCACUUUUGCAAAUAAAAACCAUGACCUCCAUGGUCAGGGAUUUUUGUUCUUAUUUUCUCUCAGCUUUAAAAAACCUGGAUGACAUUGGAUAAAUGACCAAACCUCUCUGGCCUAAGUCAAACAAAGAUAGUCAUGCCCACUCCUCUCCCAAUAAGAAGCUGCAUAGAAGCAAUGGCAUUCAAGUCUAAUCUUAGGGUGACCACCAUACUCUGAAACAGAACUCUUAAUGGAGUGGGAUGGAUUGGCUUCAGUUGAUGGUCUUUUGCUAUUAGUGAACAUCCUUUGUAGCCUAAGUCCAGUACUUUAUUGGUCCCUUAUAGGCCCCAGUAGCCAGAUUUGAACUCCUCCAAAUAUGACUAAAUUAUGACAUGCACUGAGACCUUAUUUUAUUACUAGAGGAGACACAUUCUUUCAUUAACUCAACAAACACUUAUUGAACAUUUACUUCAUGUCAGGCACUGCUCUAGACACUGGGUAUACAGCACAGAAUAAAACAGGUAAAUAUCCCUCUUCCAUUGGAGAAUAUCUUCUAGCAGAUGGAGACAGAAGAUAAAUAAGUAAAUUAUGAUGUAUUAGGCAAUAAUAAGGAUUAAAAAGGAAAAAGCAGGGUAAAGGGUCAGAGACCAACUCUGAGAUGGUCUUUUACAUAGGGUAGUCAGAUCACGUUUCCCAGGUAACACUAGUAAAGAAUCUGCCUGCAAAGUAGGAGACGUCGAUUUGAUCCCUGGAUUGCCAAGAUCCUCCGGAGAAGGAAAUGGCAACCCAUUCC
ensembl:lncRNA